GACGUCAGCAGAGCGCCGAAUCGCGCUGGGCUCCAGCAGCGGCUCGGGGACGGCGCGGGCCGACCCAGAGCGAAAACCGAGGCAGCGCCAGGCCUGACAGAGAGAAUGGGGGGGGACGUUCCCGAGGGACGGCCGCGCGGAGCCGAGAAGAAGAGAAAGAGAGAAAAAAGGAAAAAGGAAAAAAGAAAAGGAGUGAAGAAGUGCCUGAAAUAAGGCUGAAAUGAGGUUGAAGAUUUUGACGAGGACUGAAGUGAAUGCCAGCGAGGCACAUGUAACCUUAUCAGGUGCAGACGCCAGUGGACGUGGACCCGAGAAACAGAGAGGCAAGCACGCAGACGAAGGCAGACAACAACGCUGCAGACGUCUCGUCGGACAACGAUUGAUCACCCAGAGACUUGGGGGGUUUUUUCUGAGAAAUCAAGUGUUGUUUGGGUGUUGCUGCAUUGCGGGGUUUCUCACAGAGGGUGGGGACAUGGACAUGGGAUUCAGACAGAUAGUGUUCAUGUGCUUCAUCCUUUCACCUGUUGCCUUGGGCAACAGGACAGAUUUUCCCAUGAGACAACCCAGGGAAAAAGUGUGGGAGACUUUGGCAAAAGCAGCUGGUCUGGACAGCAUUUGCCUGACCCAUUCGAAACCAGAGAAACCAUUUUCAACAUGCUUGGUAGGUGGGCCAGUGGAGGGAUGGUCAGUCCCAGGGGACAUCCUUCCAGGGGUUCUGAAGUUUCUUUCAGACCCUGUGGAGGGAUGACAUGUUUGGACACAAUUCCUUCCUGCUGCUCACUUUGAACCUCUGGAUUUGGACAUUUUGGGUCAACAAAAAUGAAAUGGUGCAUCAAAUUUAAUUCAUCAGGAGUGGCAAAGACAGAUAAUCAUACAAUAGAUGUCACUCCGAAUCAGCCUUUUUAUAAAAAUGCGUCAUCUUGGUGCAAUCAUACCAAAAUGACAAGCAAACCAUCCUUUCAAUAUCCAGCCACUUUACCGAAGGGAAUGUUUUUCAUUUGCGGGGACAGGAUUUGGCCUGCUAUCCCUGCAAAAAUCAAGGGUGGUCCAUGCAACAUUGAAAGAUCUUUUGUUAACACACAGCAUGACCUUGAUAAGAGAGCAAGGAGAAAAAAAUCUGAUGAAUGAAGUGAUCCAAAUUGUGACAAUGAUAAUGUUAAUACCAAGAAAAAAGGCUCGGAAAAACUGAGUGGUUCUGCUUUCACAGCAGGUGGCAUCAAAAAGAGCCUUGGUGCAGUUGAAUCAAAAGAGGUUGUGGACAGAGUAAAGAUGCUCAUGUCAUUUCUUUUGCAUCGAAUGAUUUGUUAACUAGCAGUGAAAAAUGAGAACAAAACAGUAAUUGAACAUCUAUUGUAAACACAUGGACACAAGAGUGAUAAAUUUAAAGAGAGAUCAGAGGACCAAACACACCUGGAGAAAAAUUAAAUCAUAAGUAGAUGGUGUGUUCAAUUUGUUUCACUUUUCACAGUUGUAGAAAAGAGAUUUUGAAAAUAGUUGUAUGUAAUUAUAAGGUAUUGUAAUUCUUCUAAUGUUUGUGCUGUCCUUGCCUCAGUGCAUGAGGCAGACCAUGGACAAAGUUGUCAAAGAGGUGUUCUUGGUUCAAAAAGGAAAGGAUCCCUUGAAAAAUAUAGUUCAAAUGAUGAUGAUGAUGUUUCUACCUGGGACAAGUCUCGGAGAAUUGCAAUAGCAAUUUUCUCACCCCAAGCAGCAUCAGGGGCGGCCUUGACACAAUUGGAUUGUAUAGCAUAUUGGUUGAGGAAACACAGUCGUGCCAUUUCGUUUGCACUGAGUGACAUGUUAACAGACAUCAACAGUGCAAGGCAAGCAGUGCUUCAAAACAGGGCGGCAAUUGAUCAUUUGCUGCUGACACAUGGGCACGGAUGUGAGGAAUUUGAGGGGAUGUGCUGCAUGAACUUGUCCGAUCAUUCAAAAUCUAUUCAUAAAAAUAUAAAACAAAUACAAAGUAAUAUUAGCAAAUUGAACAAAGUUACAGGGUCCUGAUGGGAUGAUUUGUUUGGCUUUUUUGAUAUCUCACCAUUGUGAAAAGAACUUUUGAAAAUAGUAUUUUAUAUUCUUAUAGGACUUGUAGUUCUUCUGCUUGUUCUACCAUGCAUUUUCGUGUGUAUUUGAAGGACCUUGAACAGCAUGAUAAAGCGGAUGUUUCUGGUUCAAACAGAGAGGGGAGAUGUCGGAACUCAAAAUGUCCCUCAGACAUUUUUAGAGGUUCCAGGCCUUGGUCAGAAGCAUUUUAGACCCUGGCAAGCAGCUGAAAACAGCUGUGAUCUUGAGUUUGAACCAUGGAAUGAAUUACCAACUUUAAAGGUGGAACAAGCAGUCACAGAGGGUUAGAUGAUAUAGUAAAAGUAGUCACAAAUUAGAGGGUAAAAUUUUUAGUAUUGUACAGGGGGGUUUUAACACCUGUACAGGGGGGUUCUACUUUGUACAGGGGGGUCAGGAGUUCUAAGAUGGAGGAAAGUGGGCCUGAACCUGUUCUUCCUCCUUCUUCUUCCUUACCUCCAUGUUCUUGGUGAUGUUGGCAUUUUUCUAUUGGUUUAGGCUAGGGACACACUAUUCAACGUAGAUGAUAGAUAUUGGCACAUUAUUGUAAAUAUAGUACACGUAAUUUUUUGUAUAUAAUGUUUGUACCAUCCCACUGAGGGGCAGAGCCCCGCACGCUGCCCUGCAGGACAGACCUGCGGCAGGGCAGCAGAACUUGUUAUAGAUAAGCAAAAA
ensembl:lncRNA